GUGCUAAGAUAGUCACAAGAGAGGGUGUGUUGUGUACUCUUGUGUAAUACUAUUGUGUUGUAAUAAAGAAAAUAUUUUGUAAGUGUUAGUCUCCUAGUAAGGCUAAUAUGUUCAAGUAGUCAGGGUCAAGAGUUUGAGUUGCCAAGCUAUAAAUUCUAGAUGCUUUACAUGUUUUCUAUCCUUGUAUGUCAGUUCUGAAUAUGAAAUUAUGUUUUUCUGUAGCUAUCAUCCUUGACUUCACAUUUCAUAAAAUUAAGCAAGGGUAGAAAUAACAAGAUGAUUUCUCUCCUUCUUUGUUGAUCUGCAUAAAUGUGCCUUUAUUUCUUUUCUAAUUUCACUGUCCAUAAUUUCCACCAAAUUGAUUUGUUUCCUAUUCUAGGGUUUGCUGCUAUUGCAUUGUUUCUAAAAAAACAUAGAUCCAUCCAAUCGUCAUUUUAUGUACUAUUGUUUUGUUCUAAUGGUUCAGUUUAUGUUAGUUUACUGAAAUUAAGGUUAUAUAUGAUUGAAAUUGAAGAUCAAUGCAACUUCUUUGAUAUGUGUAUUUUGUAGAUAAUCUAUCAUCUAUUAUGAAGCUGGAGUGCAUUUUAGUAAGUAUUAUGAAGUUUCAAAAGAAUUUGUGGAGAUUGAGAAAAAAAUUUCAGUGAAAAGAACUAAAAACAGGUCUUCUAAUCUUCCUUACACUUUCUUCCCUGAUAGUUUUAUUUCCUUUUCAAAAACAGGAAUAAUCCAAUGUAAGUUUUUCAUUUUAUUGGUCAAUUCAGGUCAAAAGAUUUGAGUGAUCAUUGCAGCCGCAUGUUCAGACAAGCCGUGAUACUAACAAAAAUAGGGCUAUGGUAAACAAGAUGUUCUGAGCUCCAAAAGGCUGAAGCCAAGGUUAUCAUAUUGGGAGAAAAGAUAAAUGCACAUUUAAGCCUGCAUCAAAAGAUAUAUUUAACUCUUGAUCGCUACUCUCCUACGUUGCAGCAUCAUCCUGGUGUAAGUACCAUGUGCCAACGUCCAUAUAAAAUGCUAAUGUUUUUUAAAUGUCUGUCUCUCCUGUCUCACCAGAUUAUUGACUGAGUGCUAAACCGAAGAUGAUAUGUAAGAAUUUGGUUGUCGUUCUUGCUUGGAGUUAUCCAUGUUAAAGUCGGAAAUUCCAUAUAUUUUGCAAUGAACCAGUUUAAUAUACAGAACAUCGCAAACAUUUUACAUGGUUGCCUUGCAUGCAGAUGCUAGAUACUUUUCUGAAGACCUGCAAACUUGUUUCAGAUUUGAGAAGUAAAUAGAACGAAACAUAAAUGAGGGCAGCUUGGUGAGAUGUCCCUUGGUGGCUAUCAUUUUUUGGCAUCUGGAACAUAUUAUUUUAUGGGCUUUGAUUUACAUAUAUUUAUAUUAUUUAAAUGGUAGGACGCAUAUCGCGUGCCUAAUGUUCUGGUCUAAAUUAAUUUGUAACCAUGCCACAAUCUUUUAAACUUAUUGUUUGUCAUACAUGCAAUUUGUCACUAUUUUCUGUGUAUGUUGUGUUUCUAGCAAUAAGUUGUUAAAUAUAGCAGCUAGCUUGCGUAAGUCUGUGAUUUGUCAUUGUCUGAUAGGAGCAGACUUGAACAUUCACGUCGAAUUUAAACAUUUGUUUGUUCCGAAAAGAACUGUCAGCGCAUCAUUUGAAAAAGAAUUGUCAGCGGACCGUCUGCUCCUCUUGGGUGGACCGUCUGCUUUUCAAGAUGUUCGGACAUCCGAACAUCUGCCUCAUUAUUUCGAAAAUUGUAUCCUACAUAUUCUAUCUAUUACAUUCUAGUACUAAUGUUGAAAUCCAUUUUGUUAUAGGGUAUUGUGUAGUAGGCAAUAAGUGCUCGAUGAUAACUUUAUAGAUGUCGUGAAGAAGGUAGGAGAAUCAGCAAAGGGUGCAAGCAGUUGGCCAGAUUGAAAAGUUUGACUAAGGCAGUAGCCAUUGAGAUUGAGUAGGCAAUUUCUUCAUCUCAUGCUACUUUCUAGAUUCAUGAUGGAUGGUCCAUUGUUUAGUGAUUUGGACAUGUGACUUGGCUAUCCUGUUUGGUACCGUAUUUUCUUUAAGACUAUGUAUUGCCUAGUAUGAUUGUGCUACUGUAUUUGUGCCAUUAGGAUUAAUAAAUAAUAAAUGUGGCUA